UACGAAGGGGGGCGAGCGUUGUUCGGAUUUACUGGGCGUAAAGGGCGCGCAGGCGGCCAUUUUUUGUCAGGCGUGAAAGCCCCCGGGCUCAACCUGGGAAUGGCCGUUGAAACUGGCGAACUGGAGUGUGGCAGAGGGGGGUGGAAUUCCGCGUGUAGCAGUGAAAUGCGUAGAGAUGCGGAGGAACACCGAUGGCGAAGGCAGCCCCCUGGGCUGACACUGACGCCUCAGGCACGAAAGCGUGGGGAGCAAACAGG
rnacentral:rRNA from 1 species